AGAUGAAGAUAAAAACAAUGCCAAUGCAUGCAGAGUCUUGCAUAAUUAUUGAAUGGAUGGAAAAAGGUGUUUACAAUGCCUUGCAGAAGAAGUAUCUGGAAACUCUUUUGUUCUGUGUGUGUGAAGUCGUCGAAGCUAGGACCAAUGAUAGGAAUACACAUUUUCAUUCCCUUACUCAAAUUCUGAGAGCCCGGAGGUUUCAAUGAAUUAUAGUCGCUAGGGAAACAAGAAACAGUGUGGAACAUUCAAGUGAUUUAACAGCAGAAAUUACGCCCCAGCCAGAUGGGUAACUUUCGGUUUCAUUCUCAUCCUGCUCUCUUGAGCUUCCAGUUUCCUCAGUCUAUGGGAUAAUGUUAUUGAGCAGUGUGCCAUAUUGAUGAAACUCCUAUACUAUGAUGAUGUGGCGGUAUACCCUUUUAUGUGACAUUGCAGCCAGCAGAUUAUGAGCCUCCAUUCUUCCACUGCUGCCGAAAAGAGGAAGCUUGUAAUCCAUGGAACAAGGAUCCUUUGAGGUUGGCAACGUAAACAGAAAACAUCUUCUAUUAAAUCUCUAGGUAAAUAGUGUGUUUGAUUCCUGCGAGGAUGAAAAUGAUUGUAUUCAAGAUGAUGAAGUGAGCCUAGGAGCUGAUUCCUUGCAAAUGGAUGGGUCUUCUGAAUGUGACAGUGAGGUUCACCAAUCAUUAGAGGAUCAGAGUUGCUCCUGGUAAGACUUGUAAAUCUUAUUAUAGUAUAGUAUAAGCUUUGCAGUAGAGCUCCCACUUGCUGAAAA